rnacentral:lncRNA from 1 species
AUUAAACGAUAUUGUCUGUUUUUUUUUCUUUGCAGGUAAGUUGAUCUUAUCUAUUAAUCGAAGUUAAGCCGGUUUCAGGUAGGAUUGUUUAUGUUUACUACGUAUAAAAUAAUCGUUUAUUGUCCGAGAAAGAUGGAAUCGAAUCGAGAAUCGUGGAUGCGUGGGAUGAAUCCAUGAUAAUCUCUGGUCUAGUUUAUGUGAGCAAACGUUCGUUAUUUCAUGAAUUGCCUACCGAUUUGCAAACAGUGACCAGAGCAGGCGCAGAUGUUUAAAUCCAAUUGCAGAUGUUCCUCUUCGUCUUGCCGCUCAUCUAAGUGAUUCUUUAAGAAUUUAUAUGACAAACCGACAGUUUUGUUCGUUCAUUCGAAACCAUUAUAGAGAAAUUACUGGUAGUAAAAUCUUAAAUGAUCGUAAUUUUCUGGCUUUAUGCUAUUUUCAACCGAGUUUACUGAGCGAAUAGACCAUUCCAAAGCCUAUCAGGAUCUAUCUAGAUCAAUAGUUCUCAAUCUCUUCAUAUAAAUGUCUACCAGCAAAAUCAAAAUUUAAAAAGUUCAGUACCCCAACAAAAAUAUGCUUUGUAUACAAAUACGAAAUAAAGACCCUUAAUCACACGUACCAUUAGUCACAUCUCGCGUGACACCAGUGGUACGCGUACCAUUGAUUGAGAACCGCUGAUCUAGAUCCAUGAUGGGGAUGAAGAGAGAUCGACGGAUUUUGCCCGGAUCUCUAAUGAAAAUUAAUGUACGAACGAAACUAGGACUCGAUGACGACCUUCCAGAUGGAAAACACUCUUCACGCGAUCAUCCAGCUGACCCUUUCUUUACUCUAGUUGCAAAGAAUCGGCACGCGAAUUUCAGAAGUGGCGAUUUAUCUUUCAUUGAUUAUGCGUCAGUCUAUCCAUUAACUAAUUCUCAUCGGAAAAUUUUGAUUUUGUUAAUUACUGGCCCAAACGAUCUUUUUUCCAACAUUCUAAAACUUUCGAGUUAACGUAAUUGUAUAUUUGUCAAUCACACGGGUUUUAAUCUCCCAAUCAGGAAAUUUAGGUCUUAUUAUUUAACUAGGAUAACUUUAUGAUUGUUUUCCGGUUAGUAAGACAUUAAAGGAAGUGCGUGAGUCUUGUAGUAGUUAUCUAGAAGGACAGACUCCCCCUAAAAGACAAUAAAAAGGAAAAGAAGUUAGUAGCGAGUCGGAUCGAUCCCAUCUAAACUACUAUCGUCUCAUUUUCUGUGGCAGGAAUGCAAUAAGUGGAGACGUUAGACAGUCUUCCAAAAUUACUUCCGUCUGUAACCAUAUCCGCUUAAACUACCUAUUAUUAAGUUAUAAUAAAAGGGUGUGACUUCUUUUCAAUGUUCAUCUUGGCAUUUUUUGGAUAUUGUCUUCCUGAUAUUGUAAUUAUCUAAUCUGUUGUCUUAGAAUCUUCAUUAAAAAUAUAUAUAUAGAAAGUAGAAACGCUAAAGUAAUCCUCUUUUAACAUAGCUUUGUACUUUAACUUCACAUAAAAAUUAAUAUUUCGUGCCAGGUAGAAUCAAGCAUGUGUACUAUACAAUAAACGUGUAUGAAAGUAAAGGUUUAAUAGAAAUUAAGAGGCAUAAAUUUGAUUUUAAUUUAAAAAUUAUCUGUUUUAAAAAAGGAGCCAUAAUAGAGUUUGUAUUUAUUUUGGUUGAUAUAUAUAUAUGAGGAGGCCAUACCAGAGCCCACUAUAGAUUGAUCAACUUCCUGAUGGGAUUGGCUGAACGUUAGAAGGAUGGCGAUCGACAGAAUGGGUUCAUAUUCCUCGAAAUAUCUAGAUGUGUUCCAGAUCGAUCCAGAUGAAAGUCUAAUACUCUUCUACGCAAACCAUCUCACAGAUUACAUAUUGUGAAGAUCAUUUGUUUUAUAUGCUCUCAGAAAGUUUUUUUCAAAAAUGUUAAAAAUGAGUAAAUUUCAAUUCGAAUUAACUAUAUCUUCAGAUUUUACAGAUGGUGCGAAUCCACUGUUUUUUUUUUGCUUUAUCCGUCUUUUUAUUAUUUUUGCACUGAUUUACAUCUUUAUGAGAAUAUAAGUGAGAGCCAUUUCAGAGCCCAACCAUUACUGGCUGUCGAUUGAUGUUGGCAACUUGUAUGGAGUUGACUCGCUAGAUAAAAGAUGGAGAUUAAUUCAAAUUGUUUAAUUAUUUAAAAUACAAUCAAAAACGUCGAAAAAUAUUUCCAACACACUAAUCGAAAUAUAACACAUAAACUACAUUACAACAAUCAAUUAAAUCGAACAAAAUACAACAUUAUAGAAGUAAAACCAUUCCAUAAAUUUAAUUACACAUUUAAUAACUCUAUAAAAAUUCUCUCUCUCAGUUAAAUGUAUCAGAUCAGAGAUACUAUACUCCAGAGAGAAUAGCCGAUAUGGGAAAGAACUUUUAACAAUAUCCAGAUUGUAUAGUCGUGAGGCAAAAAUAUAGUUUCUAAGAGAGCGUGAAGGCGCACGUAACUGUAUAUCAAUAUAGGAUAAGUAUGACUCAAAAUAAUAAAAAUUUUAAAUCAAAAUAAAGUAUCCUCAUCUUCAAUAAAUUAUCGAAUUUAUCAGUAUUGUAUCGGUUAGUAUUUAGUAUAGGUAUUUAUAAAAUAUAAAACAAUUUUCAAAUUUUUAAAGUUAUAUUUAGAGUAAUUAA